GGGUUGUGAGGUUAAGCGACUAAGCGUACACGGUGGAUGCCCUGGCAGUCAGAGGCGAUGAAGGACGUGCUAAUCUGCGAAAAGCGCCGGCGAGGUGAUAUGAACCUUUGACCCGGCGAUGUCCGAAUGGGGAAACCCAGUGCAAUUCGUUGCACUAUCGUUAACUGAAUACAUAGGUUAACGAGGCGAACCGGGGGAACUGAAACAUCUAAGUACCCGAGGAAAAGAAAUCAACCGAGAUUCCCCCAGUAGCGGCGAGCGAACGGGGAGCAGCCCAGAGUCUGAAUCAGCUUGUGUGUUAGUGGAAGCGUCUGGAAAGUCGCACGGUACAGGGUGACAGUCCCGUACACGAAAGCACACAGGUUGUGAACUCGAAGAGUAGGGCGGGACACGUGGUAUCCUGUCUGAAUAUGGGGGACCAUCCUCCAAGGCUAAAUACUCCUGACUGACCGAUAGUGAACCAGUACCGUGAGGGAAAGGCGAAAAGAACCCCGGCGAGGGGAGUGAAAAAGAACCUGAAACCGUGUACGUACAAGCAGUGGGAGCACCUUCGUGGUGUGACUGCGUACCUUUUGUAUAAUGGGUCAGCGACUUAUAUUCUGUAGCAAGGUUAACCGUAUAGGGGAGCCGAAGGGAAACCGAGUCUUAACUGGGCGUUAAGUUGCAGGGUAUAGACCCGAAACCCGGUGAUCUAGCCAUGGGCAGGUUGAAGGUUGGGUAACACUAACUGGAGGACCGAACCGACUAAUGUUGAAAAAUUAGCGGAUGACUUGUGGCUGGGGGUGAAAGGCCAAUCAAACCGGGAGAUAGCUGGUUCUCCCCGAAAGCUAUUUAGGUAGCGCCUCGUGAAUUCAUCUUCGGGGGUAGAGCACUGUUUCGGCUAGGGGGCCAUCCCGGCUUACCAACCCGAUGCAAACUACGAAUACCGAAGAAUGUUAUCACGGGAGACACACGGCGGGUGCUAACGUCCGUCGUGAAGAGGGAAACAACCCAGACCGCCAGCUAAGGUCCCAAAGUCAUGGUUAAGUGGGAAACGAUGUGGGAAGGCACAGACAGCCAGGAUGUUGGCUUAGAAGCAGCCAUCAUUUAAAGAAAGCGUAAUAGCUCACUGGUCGAGUCGGCCUGCGCGGAAGAUGUAACGGGGCUAAACCAUGCACCGAAGCUGCGGCAGCGACGCGUAUGCGUUGUUGGGUAGGGGAGCGUUCUGUAAGCCGUUGAAGGUGUCCUGUGAGGGGUGCUGGAGGUAUCAGAAGUGCGAAUGCUGACAUAAGUAACGAUAAAGCGGGUGAAAAGCCCGCUCGCCGGAAGACCAAGGGUUCCUGUCCAACGUUAAUCGGGGCAGGGUGAGUCGACCCCUAAGGCGAGGCCGAAAGGCGUAGUCGAUGGGAAACAGGUUAAUAUUCCUGUACUUGGUGUUACUGCGAAGGGGGGACGGAGAAGGCUAUGUUAGCCGGGCGACGGUUGUCCCGGUUUAAGCAUGUAGGCGGAGGUUCCAGGUAAAUCCGGUACCUUUUAACGCUGAGGUGUGAUGACGAGGCACUACGGUGCUGAAGUAACAAAUGCCCUGCUUCCAGGAAAAGCCUCUAAGCAUCAGGUAACAUCAAAUCGUACCCCAAACCGACACAGGUGGUCAGGUAGAGAAUACCAAGGCGCUUGAGAGAACUCGGGUGAAGGAACUAGGCAAAAUGGUGCCGUAACUUCGGGAGAAGGCACGCUGAUAUGUAGGUGAAGCCCCUGCGGGUGGAGCUGAAAUCAGUCGAAGAUACCAGCUGGCUGCAACUGUUUAUUAAAAACACAGCACUGUGCAAACACGAAAGUGGACGUAUACGGUGUGACGCCUGCCCGGUGCCGGAAGGUUAAUUGAUGGGGUUAGCGGCAACGCGAAGCUCUUGAUCGAAGCCCCGGUAAACGGCGGCCGUAACUAUAACGGUCCUAAGGUAGCGAAAUUCCUUGUCGGGUAAGUUCCGACCUGCACGAAUGGCGUAAUGAUGGCCAGGCUGUCUCCACCCGAGACUCAGUGAAAUUGAACUCGCUGUGAAGAUGCAGUGUACCCGCGGCAAGACGGAAAGACCCCGUGAACCUUUACUAUAGCUUGACACUGAACACUGGUCCUUGAUGUGUAGGAUAGGUGGGAGGCUUUGAAGCGUGGACGCCAGUCUGCGUGGAGCCGUCCUUGAAAUACCACCCUUUAAUGGCUGGUGUUCUAACGUAGACCCGUGAUCCGGGUUGCGGACAGUGUCUGGUGGGUAGUUUGACUGGGGCGGUCUCCUCCCAAAGAGUAACGGAGGAGCACGAAGGUUAGCUAAUCCUGGUCGGACAUCAGGAGGUUAGUGCAAUGGCAUAAGCUAGCUUGACUGCGAGAGUGACGGCUCGAGCAGGUGCGAAAGCAGGUCAUAGUGAUCCGGUGGUUCUGAAUGGAAGGGCCAUCGCUCAACGGAUAAAAGGUACUCCGGGGAUAACAGGCUGAUACCGCCCAAGAGUUCAUAUCGACGGCGGUGUUUGGCACCUCGAUGUCGGCUCAUCACAUCCUGGGGCUGAAGUAGGUCCCAAGGGUAUGGCUGUUCGCCAUUUAAAGUGGUACGCGAGCUGGGUUUAGAACGUCGUGAGACAGUUCGGUCCCUAUCUGCCGUGGGCGCUGGAGAAUUGAGGGGGGCUGCUCCUAGUACGAGAGGACCGGAGUGGACGCAUCACUGGUGUUCGGGUUGUCAUGCCAAUGGCACUGCCCGGUAGCUAAAUGCGGAAAAGAUAAGUGCUGAAAGCAUCUAAGCACGAAACUUGCCCCGAGAUGAGUUCUCCCUGACCCUUUAAGGGUCCUGAAGGAACGUUGAAGACGACGACGUUGAUAGGUCGGGUGUGUAAGCGCAGCGAUGCGUUGAGCUAACCGAUACUAAUGAACCGUGAGGCUUAACCUUACAACGCCGAAGCUGUU
rnacentral:rRNA from 1 species